rnacentral:rRNA from 1 species
GACGGGAUCACUUUUUAGUGCUUGUCGUGGGUGAUGUUGAGCUUCGCGGCCUUCGUUGCUUUGCGUUAUGGUGCUUUUAGGUGUACUUUUCCGUAUGGUAGGUCAACAUCGAUUUUAAUCGUCAUAAAAUGAUCGGAGGAAUGUGGCUUCGAUCUCGUAUCGGAGUGUUAUAGCCUUUGGUAGAUGUGACGAUUGGGAUCGAGGAUUGCAACGAAUACCCUUUGGGCUAUCCGUCUGACCUCUGAAAGUCACUCGGGUGUCGAAAGCGUGCUUAUGACAUUCUAGUUGGCGGUCAAAAGGUUAGAACGCGAUUACAUUCGUUAAGGAUGUUGACGUA